GAUUAAGUUAUUAAGGGCGCACGGUGGAUGCCUUGGCACUAGAAGCCGAUGAAGGACGUUACUAACGACGAUAUGCUUUGGGGAGCUGUAAGUAAGCUUUGAUCCAGAGAUUUCCGAAUGGGGAAACCCAGCAUGAGUUAUGUCAUGUUAUCGAUAUGUGAAUACAUAGCAUAUCAGAAGGCACACCCGGAGAACUGAAACAUCUUAGUACCCGGAGGAAGAGAAAGAAAAUUCGAUUCCCUUAGUAGCGGCGAGCGAAACGGGAAGAGCCCAAACCAACAAGCUUGCUUGUUGGGGUUGUAGGACACUCUAUACAGAGUUACAAAGGACGACAUUAGACGAAUCAUCUGGAAAGAUGAAUCAAAGAAGGUAAUAAUCCUGUAGUCGAAAAUGUUGUCUCUCUUGAGUGGAUCCUGAGUACGACGGAGCACGUGAAAUUCCGUCGGAAUCUGGGAGGACCAUCUCCUAAGGCUAAAUACUCUCUAGUGACCGAUAGUGAACCAGUACCGUGAGGGAAAGGUGAAAAGCACCCCGGAAGGGGAGUGAAAUAGAACCUGAAACCGUGUGCUUACAAGUAGUCAGAGCCCGUUAAUGGGUGAUGGCGUGCCUUUUGUAGAAUGAACCGGCGAGUUACGAUUUGAUGCAAGGUUAAGCAGUAAAUGUGGAGCCGUAGCGAAAGCGAGUCUGAAUAGGGCGUUUAGUAUUUGGUCGUAGACCCGAAACCAGGUGAUCUACCCUUGGUCAGGUUGAAGUUCAGGUAACACUGAAUGGAGGACCGAACCGACUUACGUUGAAAAGUGAGCGGAUGAACUGAGGGUAGCGGAGAAAUUCCAAUCGAACCUGGAGAUAGCUGGUUCUCUCCGAAAUAGCUUUAGGGCUAGCCUCAAGUGAUGAUUAUUGGAGGUAGAGCACUGUUUGGACGAGGGGCCCCUCUCGGGUUACCGAAUUCAGACAAACUCCGAAUGCCAAUUAAUUUAACUUGGGAGUCAGAACAUGGGUGAUAAGGUCCGUGUUCGAAAGGGAAACAGCCCAGACCACCAGCUAAGGUCCCAAAAUAUAUGUUAAGUGGAAAAGGAUGUGGCGUUGCCCAGACAACUAGGAUGUUGGCUUAGAAGCAGCCAUCAUUUAAAGAGUGCGUAAUAGCUCACUAGUCGAGUGACACUGCGCCGAAAAUGUACCGGGGCUAAACAUAUUACCGAAGCUGUGGAUUGUCCUUUGGACAAUGGUAGGAGAGCGUUCUAAGGGCGUUGAAGCAUGAUCGUAAGGACAUGUGGAGCGCUUAGAAGUGAGAAUGCCGGUGUGAGUAGCGAAAGACGGGUGAGAAUCCCGUCCACCGAUUGACUAAGGUUUCCAGAGGAAGGCUCGUCCGCUCUGGGUUAGUCGGGUCCUAAGCUGAGGCCGACAGGCGUAGGCGAUGGAUAACAGGUUGAUAUUCCUGUACCACCUAUAAUCGUUUUAAUCGAUGGGGGGACGCAGUAGGAUAGGCGAAGCGUGCGAUUGGAUUGCACGUCUAAGCAGUAAGGCUGAGUAUUAGGCAAAUCCGGUACUCGUUAAGGCUGAGCUGUGAUGGGGAGAAGACAUUGUGUCUUCGAGUCGUUGAUUUCACACUGCCGAGAAAAGCCUCUAGAUAGAAAAUAGGUGCCCGUACCGCAAACCGACACAGGUAGUCAAGAUGAGAAUUCUAAGGUGAGCGAGCGAACUCUCGUUAAGGAACUCGGCAAAAUGACCCCGUAACUUCGGGAGAAGGGGUGCUCUUUAGGGUUAACGCCCAGAAGAGCCGCAGUGAAUAGGCCCAAGCGACUGUUUAUCAAAAACACAGGUCUCUGCUAAACCGUAAGGUGAUGUAUAGGGGCUGACGCCUGCCCGGUGCUGGAAGGUUAAGAGGAGUGGUUAGCUUCUGCGAAGCUACGAAUCGAAGCCCCAGUAAACGGCGGCCGUAACUAUAACGGUCCUAAGGUAGCGAAAUUCCUUGUCGGGUAAGUUCCGACCCGCACGAAAGGCGUAACGAUUUGGGCACUGUCUCAACGAGAGACUCGGUGAAAUCAUAGUACCUGUGAAGAUGCAGGUUACCCGCGACAGGACGGAAAGACCCCGUGGAGCUUUACUGUAGCCUGAUAUUGAAAUUCGGCACAGCUUGUACAGGAUAGGUAGGAGCCUUUGAAACGUGAGCGCUAGCUUACGUGGAGGCGCUGGUGGGAUACUACCCUAGCUGUGUUGGCUUUCUAACCCGCACCACUUAUCGUGGUGGGAGACAGUGUCAGGCGGGCAGUUUGACUGGGGCGGUCGCCUCCUAAAAGGUAACGGAGGCGCUCAAAGGUUCCCUCAGAAUGGUUGGAAAUCAUUCAUAGAGUGUAAAGGCAUAAGGGAGCUUGACUGCGAGACCUACAAGUCGAGCAGGGUCGAAAGACGGACUUAGUGAUCCGGUGGUUCCGCAUGGAAGGGCCAUCGCUCAACGGAUAAAAGCUACCCCGGGGAUAACAGGCUUAUCUCCCCCAAGAGUUCACAUCGACGGGGAGGUUUGGCACCUCGAUGUCGGCUCAUCGCAUCCUGGGGCUGUAGUCGGUCCCAAGGGUUGGGCUGUUCGCCCAUUAAAGCGGUACGCGAGCUGGGUUCAGAACGUCGUGAGACAGUUCGGUCCCUAUCCGUCGUGGGCGUAGGAAAUUUGAGAGGAGCUGUCCUUAGUACGAGAGGACCGGGAUGGACAUACCUCUGGUGUACCAGUUGUCGUGCCAACGGCAUAGCUGGGUAGCUAUGUGUGGACGGGAUAAGUGCUGAAAGCAUCUAAGCAUGAAGCCCCCCUCAAGAUGAGAUUUCCCAACUUCGGUUAUAAGAUCCCUCAAAGAUGAUGAGGUUAAUAGGUUCGAGGUGGAAGCAUGGUGACAUGUGGAGCUGACGAAUACUAAUCGAUCGAAGACUUAAUCAA
rnacentral:rRNA from 1 species